GCAACUCGCCUGCAUGAAGUCGGAAUUGCUAGUAAUCGCGGAUCAGCAUGCCGCGGUGAAUACGUUCUCGGGCCUUGUACACACCGCCCGUCACACCAUGGGAGUCGGUAACACCCGAAGUCUGUAGCCUGACGCAAGAGGGCGCAGCCGAAGGUGGGAUUGAUGACUGGGUGAAGUCGUAACAAGGUAGC
rnacentral:rRNA from 1 species